CCUACGGGAGGCAGCAGUGGGGAAUAUUGGACAAUGGAGGGAACCCUGAUCCAGCGACGCCGCGUGCGUGAAGAAGGCUUUCUGUGUGUAAAGCUCUAUCAGCAGGGAAGAAAAUGACGGUACCUGACUAAGACUCCCCGGCUAACUCCGUGCCAGCAGCCGCGGUAAUACGUAGGGGGCAAGCGUUAUCCGGAUUUACUGGGUGUAAAGGGGGCGUAGACGGUGGAGUAAGUCUGAUGUGAAAGGUCGGGGCACAACCCCGGGACUGCAUUGGAAACUGUGGAACUGGAGAACAGGAGCGGUAAGCGGAAUUCAUAGUGUAGCGGUGAAAUGCGUAGAGAUUAGGAGGAACACCAGUGGCGAAGGCGGCUUACUGGACUGUAACUGACGUUGAGGCUCGAAAGCGUGGGGAGCAAACAGGAUUAGAUACCCUAGUAGUC
rnacentral:rRNA from 1 species